rnacentral:rRNA from 1 species
GACGAACGCUGGCGGCGUGCUUAACACAUGCCAGUCGAACGGAAAGGCCCUGCUCUUGUGGCGCGCUCGAGUGCCGAACGCGUGAGUAACACGCGUGUAACCUGUACUUGUAUUUGGGAUAACUUCUGGAAACUCCGGCUCAUACAGCGUAGGAGCUCCUGCUGCGUGGUGUGGGAUGGAAAGUUUCGGCGGUGUUGGAUGGUCUCGCUGCUUAUCAGCUUGUUUGUGGGGUAGUGGCUUACAAGGGCUUUGACGGGUAGCCGGCCUGAGAGGGUGACCGGGCACAUGGGGACUGAGAGACGCCGCAGUCGGCAACGGGAGGCAGCAGUGGGGAACCUGACACAACGGGCGGAAGUGUGAGGCAGCGACGCCGCGUGCGUGAUGACCGGCUUUGGGUGAUAAACCGCUUUCGCCGGUGACAAAGCGGUAUUGACGGUAAUGGGUAAAGAAGCACCGGCUAACUACGUG